UACGUAGGGGGCAAGCGUUGUCCGGAAUCAUUGGGCGUAAAGAGCGUGUAGGCGGUCCGGUAAGUCGGCUGUGAAAGUCGGGGGCUCAACCCUCGAAUGCCGGUGGAUACUGUCGGGCUAGAGUGCGGAAGAGGCGAGUGGAAUUCCUGGUGUAGCGGUGAAAUGCGCAGAUAUCAGGAGGAACACCUAUUGCGAAGGCAGCUCGCUGGGACGUAACUGACGCUGAGACGCGAAAGCGUGGGGAGCAAACAGG
rnacentral:rRNA from 1 species